CUUUUUUUUUCCAGUCAGUUUUUUCUUUGAUCUAUAGAACUCGCUUCUUUUCUCUGAAGUUUUCACAAUACAGCGUGAUAGAAGGAGCACAGUGCCAGAGGCAGGGAACUCCUAUGCUUCACCAGUGACUCAUAAGAAAACUUAAUAGAAAGUCUCUACUGCCCACUGGCCCUGCAGUACCUGAUUGAUGUGGUCCCAAAGUAAAGUAGGCUAACCUUCAUUGAACCAAGCACUGCAGAGGCAUGGGAAGAAGUAUGGGAGAAGGAGUCCUAGUACUCUGGCAAUGAGGAAAUUUGAUUUUCAGCAAACCUUCAGAAGGCAAAAGGGAAAGUUUUCCCAUGGGCCAACAUGGAUUGUUUCUGUAAUAGUCUGCUCAGGCUUCUACAACAAGAUGUCACAGGCUGGGUCACCUAAACCAUGAGUGUUCAAACCCCAGCCAUGGAUCAGUAUGGGUCAGUGGCCUGUUAGGAAUCAGGCCACGCAGCAGGAGGUGAGUGGUGGACAAGUGAGCAUUACAGCCUGAGCUCCGCCUCCUGUCAGAUCAGCAGUGGCA
rnacentral:lncRNA from 1 species